UACGGAGGGUGCGAGCGUUGUCCGGAAUCACUGGGCGUAAAGGGCGCGUAGGCGGCCUGAUAAGUAGGGGGUGAAAUCCUGCGGCUUAACCGCAGGGCUGCCUUCUAAACUGUCAGGCUAGAGCGCAGUAGAGGCAGGUGGAAUUCCCGGUGUAGCGGUGGAAUGCGUAGAGAUCGGGAAGAACAUCAGUGGCGAAGGCGGCCUGCUGGGCUGUUGCUGACGCUGAGGCGCGACAGCGUGGGGAGCAAACAGG
rnacentral:rRNA from 1 species